rnacentral:lncRNA from 1 species
UCGUUAUUUCAUAUUGCAUUUUAAUUCAUUCUUUCAUAUUCCAUUCUUAGUACUAUGCUCGUAGUAGCCCGUGUACCUUGACUUGCGUGGGAUUUGUGAACAUUGCCUGUUGUUUGUUGUCUGUUGUUGCUGUUGCUGUGGUCGCUUCUUAGUUUUUGCUUCGGGAGUUUUCCUUUGAACGUGUGUGUGUCUUGUAUCUCAUUGCUGCUGCUUUGAUAUUGCCACCGGGUAUAUCCUUAUAUUUUUUUACUUUUUCGUGUAGUUGUGGAUGUGGGUGGUAAUGAGUGGUUAGGGUCAUGUCCGAGGGG